AUGCUCACUUUGGCAGCACAUAUACUAAAAUUGGAACGAUACAGAGAAGAUUAUCAAGGCCCCUCACAAGGAUGACACACAAAUUAGUGAAGCAUUCCACUUUUUU
rnacentral:snRNA from 1 species